AAACUUUUGAACCUGGACUUGAAGCGAUUAUAACCUAGACACCUUUGUUGAAGAAGCUGGUGAUGGACUAUACCAUGUUACUAUGGCCUUCAGAGGAAGGGCUGAAAUUUGAUGGAAACAAGGAGACAGGACUGAUGGACCAGACACCAGGAGAGGCUUUUCGAAAACAAUCCUGUCACUAGCAAGGGGUUUUGUUUCCUUCUAUCAGGGAAAAAUUCCAAGUGACAUUCCACUAAGGAACAGGAGGUUGGCUCAGCCCGACCAGAAAAUCAAGCUUCACAUUUUGAAAUGCUAUGGAAGUUAAAGAAAAUGAAGUGGGAGCUUCUGUGGGCAGACA